GAUGCAACCUAAUAGCAGGAUUUACAUAGAAAGGUUGCCUGUAUCACUCUCCUUGCAUUCUUUCUGUUACAUUUCAUUGAGUCUCUGUUAUUUAAACUCAAGUACAGGUAUUAAAUAUGGGUCCGUUGUCCAUGUCCAAGUAUUCUUAUCAGACACUGUUUUAAUAGAGUAAACUGAACACUCAAAGAAAGUAACAUUUAAUUAUAUGAGGUAUGCUGUUUCCAAGUACCUUGGCUUCUAUUCUCUUUGGAGCUCUCCACCACCCUCAUUUCCCAGUGGUUAACAUGGGUAAAGUUUGUCCUUGUGGUGAGAAAUGCAAAGUGCGAUAUAACUUACGUCUUAUGAUUCUCUGUACAGUGAAGCCCCAGAUGACUCAUAGUUUCAGUAUGGCAGUGUGAUGGUCUCCUUUGGUUUUUCCAUGUGUUUUUAGAUCAAUUUGAAAUGUUCUUAUAAAUAUUGCUAAAGUAUAGCCUCAUAUAAAUCCUAUGUUUUAAUAAAUAUGAUCAUGCAG
rnacentral:misc_RNA from 1 species